AUGAAGUGCCCCGCGCCGAAACGUCCGGCGGCGAAACGUCCAGUCGGCAAAACGUCCGUGUACCGGCAAUAACAUGUUAUAUUUUAUAUUAAAAAAACUAUAAUAGAAAAAAAUGAAUGUUCAUACCGGGAGUCGGUGUUAAAGAUGUUAUGUUUUACGAAGUUCUCUUCAGUCUAUGCUCUCCUCGUGAAACGCACCGUCAGAGGUCAACAAGUCAACCCCUAAAAGCUUUUAUUUGUGACCCGCAUAAAUGUAUGACACACACACAAGCAGGGGCUUGCACAUUGAACUCUGCCCUCUUUUAGACGAUGUCAUCUGCAAGGUAGGCAAGCUUUUUUUUCUCUCCAUUGCCACACCCAUAUAACAGGGUCACAAAGAGAAAACCCGCAGCUUGGGGUAUUUACACCUGUCGUAGUCGGGUAGAAGGUUGGCUGUUGACAUCCCCAAGUACAUAAACAUCAAGAAACAUUGACUCUGGUUACAGGUCAGUACAGGUGUAAGGAGUGGAAACAGUGUUGUGAGUCUGUAGUGCAGCGACAGCUCGUGUAGAAGUCAGGUAUUGCUGUCACCGACAGAUCGGUGAAGGUGAAGGAAGAUGUGCUGUGAGACAGUUUUAUCAAUUAUUCUUGGAAUCAUAGACAUCUGUGGUCUUGCGAGCGACUGGCUUUUCUUCGCUGAACUGCAGGUCACAGAGAAAGGUCUGGUGUACGGACCAGAGGACGAGAAAGUUCUCAAUGCUCUCUUGGCCUUUUGUGUCAUCGGAACCGCCAUCUUCAUCUUUGAAGGGAUUAGCCAUAUAUACAGUCUAUGUAGUGACAGUGGUAAGGAAUGUAUCAACACAGACCUCAUCUCCUUCCUGGCCGUCCUGUUCGGAGACAUUCCUCAAGUUAGUAUCAGUGUGUACGUGGCCUACUGUCGGGAGGAUGGAGUGAGCUACUUUCAGUUGGCGAAGGCGGUGUUUGUCUUUCUAGGAAUCAUCAUC